rnacentral:lncRNA from 1 species
AGCCAGGCUAACAGAAACCCAGCCCUGCCCACUGGGUGAAACUGCAAGUCGAGAGCGUGGGAAACCAGCAAGUUGAGAGAGGAUCCAGAAGUAACCCCUUCUAAAACGGGAAAGAUGCCUUCCGAAAGCACUUGGCCCUAAAGAGAAAACACUAGGAGGAUGGGAACCAGGGACAGAGAAGCUACUUGCUCUGCAGCUGUUUGGGCCAGGAGAAGACCACAGAAGCUCUGCAUUUGGAACUUUUCCUGGAUUCUGUCCCAUUUGCUUCUUCCCAUGACCGAUUUUGAUCUGUAUCCUUUCCCCUGUAAUAAACAGUAACCAUAAGUAGAACAGC